rnacentral:misc_RNA from 1 species
AUAGAAGCAGUAAAGUGCCUUAGAUCACCAGCAAUUAUUUCACAACAAUAAACGUCACUCACAUUCCCUUUGUAAAAUAAAAAUAAUUCUUGAUACUAACCAACGACAUCAGCGACUGUAACCCGAUAACGAAAAGUAGGUUCAUGUAUGGCACCCUCAAUUUGAACUAAUUCAUAGUUAGGGGUGGUGCCUCUGCGUGAGAGUAGCUCUUGCAGGACAGAUACUGGAGUUUUAGCGGGCAUUGCCUUCAUUUCUAAACGUGCAGCUUCAUCCAAUGGUAAUGCCUCAGACAUAAGAGCAUGCAUCGUAACACGGGUCCUGCCGUGACGAUGCACGCUAUUUGGAUGAAUGGUCUGAACCCCGAUCCCACUCAUGAUAUUUGGUCCAACUUGUUGUGGAUGGCGCAUAUCUUCCAUAUUACAACACUGUCCUCAGCUUAGAAUGUGAGAACAAACAUCAGGACCUCUACUACUAUAUCAAGGAUGAAUUAAAUGAAUUAGCAUGGAGUAAUUGAUGGAUUGAUUUUGUGUGUUUAUGACUUAUAAAACAUACAACACACAUACCAUCACAGAACAUAUAUUGCAGUCAAUAUUGAGUGAUUGACACAGAUAGUUCUGUCAGAGAAGUGACCAAAAUAAAACUCAAAUCUGCCCUUUUCUACGUGAAGUGACAAGCGUAGUUAGCUCACACAUUGUAAUAAAAAUAGGAUUUCUCGUUACAAGACGUGAUAU